GUAGUGAUCAUACUUAUCAGUAUCCUUCAUGAAGCCUUGGAACCCAGUCUAUUGUUGGUGGAGUCAGUGGUUCACUACUCUAUCAACUGUAAAUAGGCGACAUCUCUACUGUGCUUGAAUAUCCUCCAGGGUAACAUGCAGCUGUCAAUUAGUUGACUGUCCACAGAUCAAACAGAGGUGGUCCCGUCGAUUCACGCUGGAUUGAGAUAUGAUCGGCCUGUUCUUGCAAAAGAAUCAGACCUCGCGUUCCGUAGGUGAACCUGCGGAAGGAUCAUUAAAGAGAACUUGCCCUUCGGGGUAUAUCUCCCACCCUAUGUUUACAUUACCUUUGUUGCUUUGGCGGGCCCGUCUCACGACCACCGGCUUCGGCUGGUCAGUGCCCGCCAGAGGACCCCAAACUCUUUUGUUAAUGUCGUCUGAGUACUAUAUAAUAGUUAAAACUUUCAACAACGGAUCUCUUGGUUCUG
rnacentral:misc_RNA from 1 species